AAUUUCUGAAAAUUAGGAUUUUUUGUUUUGCAUUGUGUCGAGUAGGAAGAGAGAAGGAAGAACUGGAGAGAUACCUCCUGGGAAAGAACUUAUUCUAAAAGCUAAACCAGGAAAAUCACUUUGAGAAGUUCUUCAUGUUUAGCAGGAAAAUGGGGGAGGGCAUUCUUACCUGGUCGUACAAGACCCCGUUGGGUAACCUGUACCUGUCCUAUGGAGAUCACUCAGCUUUCAGCCAGUGAGACAGACUAGGAAAGGAUAACAUUUUGGUCUAUAACUGGAAUCUGUUAGAAAUACUUGAAACAAUUUAAAAGGGUGUAUUCUAAGAAAC
rnacentral:lncRNA from 1 species